rnacentral:piRNA from 1 species
GUCUGCCAAAUGGAAUCCAACUCU